rnacentral:lncRNA from 1 species
CGGCCGGCGCUCGGGUUACAGCGCGCUCCCGCCCGCCCGCGCGCUGACGGACCUGGUAACGGGACCGGCCGCGGCGAUGGCUUGUGGGGGCCGGCAGUCGGAGGGGGGCGCGGGGCGUCUCGGCCCGGGAACAGCCGGGUUCGCGAAGCGGGGCGAGGACGGGGUCUUCGGAGGCUGGAGGCCAGCGAAAUCUGUCACAGCCCGGGCCGAGACUGUAAAACUGCCCGCCCUCAGCGGUCACCACCGAGUGGCAGGUUUUUUCCUCAGACAGAAAAGGGGGUGAAAAAAGAAAAAAAAAAAGCCUUUCUGUCCCCGAGGACUGGUUUGAAUUGCUUUUCAUCUGGAGUAGCUGUGAUUCAGCGUCCCCCUUAGCAGCAAGUAUGACCGAGGCAGAAGACGAGGGGGAAAAAACGCUAAUGAAUCAGAUGUACCUGCUCGUGCCUUCUGACACAAGAACACACCAAACCUGGCACCUGAUACCAGUCUUCUUGCACUCCAUCAAGUGGGACCAUUGGAUCAACUAUCAAAGAAGAAAUAAAAGGACACCAGCAAUUGACUUUGUGGCCACUACCCUCUUGUUCUUGCAGUAGUCCAUUCUGCUUGCCAAAAUGGUGCUUUUCUUUUUUCUUCAAAGCACCAUUUUCUCCCUGAGCACUUCUUUUGCACUUUUACUCCUUUCUCUUUUUCUUAUUUCUUCUUUAAAAUAAACAGUGAUCUUUCACAUCCACCAGUUUUCCUG